rnacentral:rRNA from 1 species
UACACUCCUGCGGGAGGCAGCAGUGGGGAAUUUUGGACAAUGGGCGAAAGCCUGAUCCAGCAAUGCCGCGUGUGUGAAGAAGGCCUUCGGGUUGUAAAGCACUUUUGUCCGGAAAGAAAUCCUUGGCUCUAAUACAGUCGGGGGAUGACGGUACCGGAAGAAUAAGCACCGGCUAACUACGUGCCAGCAGCCGCGGUAAUACGUAGGGUGCGAGCGUUAAUCGGAAUUACUGGGCGUAAAGCGUGCGCAGGCGGUUUGCUAAGACCGAUGUGAAAUCCCCGGGCUCAACCUGGGAACUGCAUUGGUGACUGGCAGGCUAGAGUAUGGCAGAGGGGGGUAGAAUUCCACGUGUAGCAGUGAAAUGCGUAGAGAUGUGGAGGAAUACCGAUGGCGAAGGCAGCCCCCUGGGCCAAUACUGACGCUCAUGCACGAAAGCGUGGGGAGCAAACAGGAUUAGAAACCCUGGUAGUCCCAUG